rnacentral:rRNA from 1 species
AUUGAACGCUGGCGGCAGGCCUAACACAUGCAAGUCGAACGAGUGGCGGACGGGUGAGUAAUGUCUGGGACACUGCCUGAUGGAGGGGGAUCACUACUGGAAACGGUAGCUAAUCCCGCAUACCAUCGGAUGUGCCCAGAUGGUAUUAGCUAGUAGGUGGGGUAAAGGCUCACCUAGGCGACGCUCCCUAGCUGGUCUGAGAGGAUGACCAGGCACACUGGAACUGAGACACGGUCCAGACUCCUACGGGAGGCAGCAGUGGGGAAUAUUGCACAAUGGGCGCAAGCCUGAUGCAGCAAGGCCGCGGGAAUGAAGAAGGCUUUCGGGUUGUAAAGUUCUUUUAGAGGGGAAGCGGUACCCGAAGAAGAAGCACCGGCUAACUCCGUGCCAGCAGCCGCGGUAAUUC